CAAUUCACUUCCUUUUGAAGGUAAUAGCAGUCAAUCGGAAAUUCCCAGACCCUGUUCUCAAUGUCACAACUAAUUACAACGUCGUCGUAAACGUGAAGAACAAAUUAGACGAAAAUCUCCUUAUGACAUGGUGAACAAUUAUAUCCCAAUUUGGGUCAGGUUUUGCUUUGUAUAACAUUAUGAGAUGCAAAGAAUAAGAUGCAGAGAAGUUGCCAGGUGAAGUUGCAUUCAUGCUACAGUACUCCAGACUUAUGUUACCUAUAUAACUAAAGAUAAUUGUAGAUAACUAUAGUCGCGUGCAGUAACAUAUAGUUAUAUGUAUGGUAUGUGUUUUUUAAUGUAUAGUUAUGCGUGUUCAUGUUUUGAAGAUUAUAUGCACGUGAUUGUGCUUUUU